AAAACGAACAAAAUUUGUAACACAUGUCAACACAAAUAAAUUACAUUUCAUUGAGAUUUAAUUUCGCCAGCCCCCUUUAGCGAGAAAACGGGGGGAGGUAUAAGGAUUGUUCUCUAUGGUUCGGUGGUGGCUUUUCAGCCUCAAAAACCGCCAACCAACUUUCGAUUCGGCUAGGAUUUCCCAAAGGAUAAGUAUUUACUCUCUGUGUGCAGCAGUAACGACAGCGGUAAGAACGUUUUUGAUGUUAAGCAACGAACGGAAGGACUAAAUCAAUGAAGGCGAAUCGAAUUUUCCACCCUCUCAUGUCCAAUGAGGCGCAGCUAAAUCUCUCAAGGGAUUGUUAAGUCGCAAGACAAGGCUCGACGUGGCACUUAUGCUUCUGUUGCGAUGUGCCAGCAAACUUUCUUACGACCUCGAAAGUUAUGGACAUAAAUCUAACAACGCGCGUUGAACAUUGGGUGGCUUUUGAAGGAGCAAAUCUCAAGUCCUCGAAGGAAGCUCCUUUUGUUUGUGUAAACUUUGAGAACAUCAUCUCUGACAAGUCGAAGUAGAAGUAGACUAAAAUCUGACAGACAGUUGGUCUUGGUGUUUUCAUUUAGUUCGCCACGGGGUAGUAGGAUAGUGAUGGUGGUGGUGGUUUGUUUUUUGGGUUUUGAAAACCCGGUCGGGCGUGCAAGGUAAUUACAAAUCUAUUACUGGUUCCUCGUAGAAGAGAUAUUGAAUUUCGCAUGGCAUACGGUCGAUGAUGUUGAUGUUGAUGGACUCGAAGAUGCGCUAUUCUAUUCCUGUUCUAUGAAGAGAGGAUUCCCAAGAGGCAGAAUAGCAAUUUCUGUGUUCAAUGCACAUCCUCUUUGGAAUUCAUUAUUGCGGUGGACUGGUCAUGUAAUAUUCCAUUUGUGGCAAAUAAUACGAAAGCUGUCUGUUUUUGAUGGAAGGUAUGUUAUAUGAAAGUAAAGGAAUAGAUAAUGAGUUCUCGAAAAAACCUAUACAUUCAACUAAAAUUGCAAUACAUUAUUUUGGAUAUAAUAUGUUUUUACUUAAUGUGUAAGUCUAAUGAGAAGGCGAUUUCAUUAUUAUUAAGUAAGACAACUUUGAAUGGUUCCAU